CCUACGGGCGUCAGCAGUGAGGAAUAUUUGUCAAUGGACGAGAGUCUGAACCAGCCAAGUAGCGUGAAGGAUGACUGCCCUAUGGGUUGUAAACUUCUUUUAUAUGGGAAUAAAAUGUUCCACGUGUGGGAUUUUGUAUGUACCAUAUGCAUAAGGAUCGGCUAACUCCGUUCCAGCAGCCGCUGUAAUACGGAGGAUCCGAGCGUUAUCCGGAUUUAUUGGGUUUAAAGGGAGCGUAGGUGGAUUGUUAAGUCAGUUGUGAAAGUUUGCGGCUCAACCGUAAAAUUGCAGUUGAAACUGGCAGUCUUGAGUACAGUAGAGGUGGGCGGAAUUCGUGGUGUAGCGGUGAAAUGCUUAGAUAUCACGAAGAACUCCGAUUGCGAAGGCAGUUCACUGGACUGCAACUGACACUGAGGCUCGAAAGUGUGGGUAUCAAACAGGAUUAGAUACCCGGGUAGUC
rnacentral:rRNA from 1 species